AGCCGACCCGGCGGCGUUAAACAGGCAUCAGGCCGGGAGCGUCCCGCCCAACCGGGCGGGGUUGCA
rnacentral:ribozyme from 1 species